rnacentral:lncRNA from 1 species
GGCAACCCCUGGAAACCAAAUUCGAGGCACAACUAUUGAUAAGCAUUACAAAACACAUAUAGCCAAGAACAUAUAAUUUAGAAUACUGGUUUUAUUCCCUUUUCAACUUAUAAUUCUGAAGGUUGAACACAUUUUUUAGAAGUUACUAGCAAUCACAUAGCACAAGGUGUCCCAGCAUUGAAACAAAUUUCCUCUCCUACCUUCUUUCUAGCUGAAGCUUUUGGUGUGGCCUUACAACUCAAAGGAAUUUUUGAAUUCCUCGCCCUAAUCCAACUCCUAUCUUUGUAGCUUUUUCAAGAUGGUAUGUAAACACCGUAUCCACCAUGUAUGGUCGAUCAUCUCCAGAUAUAGGAUUACCAUCAUUGUACCUUCACGAAAAAAUUUGUUGGUUACAUUUCAGAUUUGUAUUUAUCAGUUUGUCUUAAUAAGAAAUUAAAAUUCUAAAAGCUUAGUAAACAGCAGAAAGGUAUAAAGAUAAAUAAUAGUUCAGAUGAACACAAAAUAAUAGUAUUACUUUAAAGUUAGUAGAUGCUCCUAUUAUAUAUGUAUUCAAUGUCUACGUAUUCCUUGAAUUUAUGUAAGGGUCUUAUCAUUGAUAAUUUGAUUUGUGUUCUCAACAAUUGCAUUUCCUUCUGCAACGAAGUAACAUUACUGUGAAAUUUUGAUUUUUUUAAAACAUUUUAAAAUACAAUUUAAAGCUAAAUUACAUAUCAAGUAUAAAUCAUAAGGUUCACAUUCUAUCUAAGCAAAUAUGGGGUUGGAAUGUUACCUGUAAAUGAUUCUCUAAUAAUUUCCUCAAUUCUUUUUUUACUUUGCUCUUCCUGACUUCAUAGGGCUUGUGCUGACCUUAUGGAUAUAUACAUUUUUCUAGAAAGAAAACAUUGGGUUAAGCUAAAAAAGUUCACUUAUAUGUAAAUAAGUUUCAAAAUAAGAUUUUUCUUUAUUCAUCAAAAUUACAAAUGAGUAUGUUAAAUUUGAGAGUACGGUAACAGUUACUUUUAAAAUAAGUAUUUUUUU